UGCCCACCUCGGCCUCCCAAAGUGCUGAGAUUACAGGAGUGAGGCCACUGUGCCCGGCAACAUAAGAUUAUUUUCGAACUGCAUCCUUCAUGACAUUUAUAUGUGUAUUUGCAACUGUAUGUGUAUGUAUAUGUAUAGACACACACAUCCCUAUGUCUAUAUAGAUAUAUCUGUCUUUCUGGAAGUACGACAUCUCUUUUA
rnacentral:lncRNA from 1 species